AAAAAACAUUUCAUAGCCCUUCCGCCACACUAUAGACUCCACCUGGUUGUGGCUCAACGAAGCUCUCUUCUAUAGCCACCAACUCAAUUGUAUACUGAACUAUGUCACGAGGCAGGGAUCCUUUGGCAUUGAGCCAGGUAAUUGGUGAUGUGUUGGAUCCUUUCAUAAAGUCAGCAACGAUGAGGAUUAAUUAUGGUGACAAGGAGAUAACAAAUGGCACUGGACUACGAGCAUCUGCUGUUCUCAAUGCACCACAUGUUGAGAUUGAAGGCCACGACCAAACAAAGCUCUACACACUUGUUAUGGUGGAUCCUGAUGCACCAAGUCCAAGCAAACCAGAGUACAGGGAAUAUCUGCAUUGGAUUGGAUGCAGCCCUCUCAAAAAGGAGGGGGUGUUUUUUUCCAUCCAUCAACAUCUGAAGAACUCUUGUUAGUAUGCUAAUGGGUAAGAAAGCACAGUUUCUGUGACAGUGUAGCUUUUUGUUUCCAAUCACUGUAAUUCGGUUAACCUAAGUAUCGUUGUUCAGAUUGUUAUUUUAUUGUCAACAAGUAUUAGUUUUCAGUUGAAUUGAUAUCAAUAGCAUGGAAAUAAAAUGUUGCAGAUUUUUUUACAUUAUAAUAGUUUCUAAAUUCGUCAAGAAGAUAUUUUAUAAACUCUGUAUGGACAGGGUGCUCUGCUCUCAGCAGGGCUAUAUAUAAAACUGUCAAUUAAUUACUUCAUGGAUAAAUUGAAGAGAACGGUCAUGGGCCCAAAUUCUAACUUGACUACUUUAAUGUUAUAAUUCUCAGCUGCUAUAAUUAUCAAACAAAAUAAGGUAAACUGCUGCUAUAUCAUUUAAUCAUAUAACACAUUAGUUACAAGAUUGACAUGAAAGAUAUUGCAUAUAUGCAUGCAUACAGUUACAGUUUUACACUUAUUUUGAUAGUCUGAAACUAUGAAGAGAAAGGCUUGCACUGCUUAGAGUAGAGUUCAAAGAACUCAUCAAAAGAACCAAGUGGUAUUGCUACUGCUUACGCUAUGAUAUUGCUAGCAUAAUACUUACCACACUCGUUUAGGAGAAUCCUGGAGGUGGCCAAAAUUCCACCAUGCCAGGGGGGUAUGCCAGGGAGACCCCCUCUCGCCAAUGCUUUUCAUCCUAGCUAUGGAUCCGUUCCAACGCAUCCUUGACCUAGCAACUGACCAAGGUACUCUGUCCCCAUUGCCCCAAGGGACGACCAGAUGGAGAACAUCCCUGUACGCUGAUGACGCGGCCAUUUUCGUUAGCCCACACAGAGAGGACAUGCGGGCAACCGUUGAACACUGCUUCCUCGUGUCCCUGGGUGCACUGUAAUUUUUAACAUGUACUUACGCUCUUUUCCUAUCUUAACUGGAAGGCAGAGCUCCUGCCAUUUCGUUUCAAAAAAAAAAAUACUUACCACACUCAACUGACAAUUAUAAUUGUUUAAUUUACAAGAAGAAUAAUGUAACAUGAUCGCCAUUUGCAACAACAAAGUGUUUCAUUUAGUUAUUUGACCAAAUUCUAGAUUGCUACUUGCUACUAGGAAUCAACCACCAGAGUGUAAAUAAAAAUCUAUAUAAUACAUCAUAUUUAUUUUAAAUGUGACCUAUGAAUUUGCACAGCUGUUAUUAGUAGAAAACAGACUCUUACAUGAACAUCGAUUUUCCAAAUUCAUGUAUGUUUUACAUAGUUGUGUACUUAUUUUUUCCAAUUAAAGUUAUUUAGUUGAUUAUCUACAAUACAUAAGUAAUUUUGAUACCAAUCAAAGAUCUAAGGAAGGCCCUUGUUUCUUUUCAUCUUGUUUAUUUUCUAUUACAGGUUGGUAACAGAUAUACCAGAGGCAAGAGACAUACGUUUUGGUGGGUAACACCUUACCUGACCUCUUUUUACCGAAUUAGCAUUUAAGACAUGGAUCUUUAAACCAUUUUUAGGACUACAACUUCGAACAUUAUUGUUGCACACAAAGUGCAAACAACUCCAGAUUCAUGUUGUAUCAAAAUUAAGUAUACAUAAUAUGUGGCAUCUUCCACUAAAUAUAAACCCACCAGCACUUUGCUCUUGGAAUUGUGACAAUGAAAUAAACAUGUGGUUAGUUAAAUGUAUGUCAAAUGACAAAACAUAUGAUGAUAGUAAAGGAUUUAAGUAACUACAGAAGAACCACUACUGCAAAUGUAACAUGUAGAAUUUGAAGAAAAAAAAAACUGCUAUGAAAGAUAUGGCUUUGACGAAGUAACUACCUUGGUGAGAAAAUGGUCAUGUGAAUUUCAUUUUACAAAGUUGCUAUGUAACACAUCAUUUACAAUGAAACCUUUAAACAUUUAUCUUAUGAUGUGUGCAUGUUAUUAUGCCUGGCAUCCAUGAUUAGUAUUACAGAUGAUGUCAAUAUUUGAAGAAAGAUGCAUGUGUGGACUUAUAGCAAGUGCAAGAAUUUUGUAGUGGAACUAAAUCUGUCUAAAUUAUUCCCUACUAGUUGCAAGUGGUGCCAUGUAAAAUACCAGAAUCCAACAUCUACACCAAAUACUAUCUGGCCAAGUGCAUGCUAGGUAAAUUUAAUAAGACACUAUCGUCUCAUCAGACUUUCUGGUUUGGUUCAAUCUCCUUAAUUGCCACGCUCGCUUAUUUUGAAUGCAAUUUCAUAAUUUUCCUACCUUUUGGAUUCAGCACCAUUCAGCAAUUGAGAAGAAUAUGAUAGAUAAUUUUAUUGAAGACUAAACAUAGAGAGAAUCAUUUUAAUAUUGCAUACCUAAUAAUCAAUGCAAAGCACUUUAGAGAGAGGGGAACAACCCCCACUCUAAUGUGACUGCACCUAUUUUGAUGCAGGUUAAGCAGUUGCAUGGUUGUUAUUUGUUCAACAGCACCUCAAGUUGAGGAUCUGACAUCAUGGUAUUUUCUGUGGGACCCACUUGAUCACUUUAGUCAGUGUGGCAAUACUUACUUCUACAGGAAAUCAAGUAGAUGGGUAUUAUUACCUGCUUCAUUGCAUGACAAUAUACAAUACUCAACUAAUGCUAUCUUCUGUAUGGGCCCACAGAAAUAAAUGAUGCAUCUAUAAAUGAAACCUGUGAAGUGUCCUUCAGAAUUUCAAGUAUUAGAACUUAGUGUUUAAAUUAAAUAUGGAGAUUAUAAGGUGUCAAAAUGUUCCGCGACGUAGAUGUCUCCUUCAGGAAGCUUUCAACCAGAUCUCGAAAGCACUAUAUAUUAGCAUGAUGAUACUAAACACAUCAAUGGUUAUCGAUCAUUAUAUGAAAAAAAAAACUGGAUUAACCUAGAAGGAACUAGGUGGCAUGUUACUAAGAACAAAAUAGGCAUCCAAAUUUGCCUCCGUGAGGACUUGAACGGGCAUAAUCCAAAUCCUCUUAUCAUGUUAGGCUGGCAGAUAGAAAAACUUCUGACUGCAAGAAAAAAAAUCAAGAACAUUUUAAACAAAUGAAAUAAAAGUAGCACACCUCAUCCUUUUGUGAAUUAUUCAUACUUGAUGAAACCUAAGCACUACAAAUGGUCUCUCUCUCUCACCCACUUUGUGUAUGCUUAAUAAUGGGGAUAUUCCACUUGUACACAACAUGUGGUCAACUUGGAUAUUUACUUUAGUUUAGAUGCUAUAAGGGGCUGCACUUAAUAUGCUAUAAGUAUAAAUAAAUCCAUCAUCACAACCUAUUGUGUGUGUGUUUCUUUUUUCUUUUGGAUGGGUGGGGUGUGCUGAUUUUGUUUUUCUUUUGUGUGUGUGUGUGUGUGGGAGGGGGGUAUAGUGCCAACUGAAUACAAUGUUGAGGUGAGCAGGUAGUGAAAAACAGUUAGAGUCAUUAGUACAAAAUGGUUAGUGCUAGCCUUCACCUUAAAAAAUACAGAAAAACAUUCUAAUAAGGAAUGCACAUUUUUUCAGGCAACGAAAUAGUUCCCUAUGAAAGCCCAAGGCCACCAGCUGGAAUUCAUCGAACUGUUUUUGUGCUAUUCAAACAACAAGCUAGACAAACAGUUUAUGCACCAGGAUGGCGGCCAAAUUUCAACAUCAGAGACUUCUCAGCAAUUUACAAUCUUGGACCACCAGUUGCUGCAUUAUACUUCAACUGCCAAAAGGAAAGCGGUGUUGGUGGCAGAAGGUUCUUGGGAUCAAGCUGAAGAACAGAUACAGAGAAACAUCUACAUCAAGGCAGUACCAUUCACAAUUCAGUAAUCAAUCCACAUAAAACAGUUGAAAAGAUAUGAAACGUUAGUUGACAGUUAAGCUCUAGAGUAAUUGACUCAUAUUAUAUGAAACAAACUAGCAUUUGGAGGUCAUCUUCCUAUGGUACCCACCACAAUAAAGAUCACGAUGUUCAUAUGAGAAGAAGUGUUCAUUUACAGCAACUCAUUGGUGUUUAAGUUCAAGUAUCACAAAACCUUAAUGAGGUAUAUAUCUGCUUCUGUUUGGUGGGUUCUCCGAAGUCCAAACAGAAAGGGAACCAUAUCACAUGGACGUGGCCAUCCUGCGUGCUCAGAUAGCGCGCCAUCUGACAACUAGCAGAUUGGCCGGCCCAUCCUUCCAGAGUUCCAGGUUACCUUCUAAGGGCCUCACACACCCAGCCGUAGGCAACGCGCAUAUGAAACUCAACCGGAGAGAUGCAAACCGAAGUUUGCUUUGAAGUUUGAACCAUGCGGCCCACCAUUUGGCACUGCAGCGAUACCGAACAAGAAAAAACGAGAGAAUCACAGGGGUGGGGACUGGAGGAGAUACAUUACCUUUGAGGAGAAAGAGAAUCGCGGCUGGACGAAGACGAGUCCAGUGGCAGAGGAGAACGUAGGUAGGGAUGAAAAUGAAUGUAGCUUCAGCCACCUGUUUUGAAUGCUGCGGGCUAUAAUGGAUAUAGACAAAAUAUUAUAGAAAAAAAAGAAGUCGUUUCAAAAUAAA